GAGUUUGAUUAUGGCUCAGGACGAACGCUGGCGGCAUGCCUAAUACAUGCAAGUCGAGCGAACAGAUGAAGUGCUUGCACUUCUGACGUUAGCGGCGAACGGGUGAGUAACACGUAAGGAAUCUACCUAUAAGCGGGGGAUAACAUUCGGAAACGGGUGCUGAUACCGCAUAAUAUCUUCUUCCGCAUGGAAGAAGAUUGAAAGACGGCUCUGCUGUCACUUAUAGAUGACCUUGCGGUGCAUUAGUUAGUUGGUGGGGUAACGGCCUACCAAGACGAUGAUGCAUAGCCGACCUGAGAGGGUGAUCGGCCACAUUGGGACUGAGACACGGCCCAAACUCCUACGGGAGGCAGCAGUAGGGAAUCUUCCGCAAUGGGCGAAAGCCUGACGGAGCAAUGCCGCGUGAGUGAAGAAGGCCUUCGGGUCGUAAAACUCUGUUAUAAGAGAAGAACAAAUUGUAGAGUAACUGCUACAGUCUGACG
rnacentral:rRNA from 1 species